rnacentral:misc_RNA from 1 species
AAGUCGUAACAAGGUAGCCGUAUCGGAAGGUGCGGCUGGAUCACCUCCUUUCUAAGGAGACAUGUUCACUCUGGAAGUGAGCAUAUCCUAAGGUCGAUGCUUUGAAGGACGUCACGGAAGAGAUGAAGUGAAACGGUUCAAAGCUGGAGAAGUCUGAAGAGACUUCGAAAUGCCGAAGAGGCAAAGCAGGGGAAAUCUGCAUAAGAUGACCCUGAAAUCGAGUCAAACCUGUUCAAGCGCAAGCUUACUUGUUGUUUAGUUUUGAGGGACCAGCAAUGGAAACUCAUUAUUUUUUUGACCAAAAGUCAAGAAAAACUGUUCUUUGAAAACUGCACAGAGAAGAAAAAACUGUAAUUUAGGAUAACAUCUGAAAAACCUGAAUGUGGCGGAGACGUUUGGUCAAGCUACUAAGGGCGUACGGUGGAUGCCUAGGCGCUAAGAGUCGAAGAAGGACGCGGCGAGCGGCGAAACGCCACGGGGAGCAGUAAGCAUGCUUUGAUCCGUGGAUAUCCGAAUGGGGCAACCCA